AAGUGGGGGGCUGCGGCGGGAGGUGAGGGCCGCCUGCCUGGCCGGACCCCAGGGGUGUCGGACGGUGGGCAGGGCCUCCUGGGAUCCCUGAGGCGCCGGCAGGAGGAGACGCCCUGGGGUCGGUGCCUCCACCUUCCCGUCCGGGCGGUUACAGCUUUCCCGCGUUCGCUGUCAGAGGCAGGGACCGGCGACCUCGGGGGCCUGGUCCCUGAGCCACAGCGGGGAGUCGUCCGAGCAUCUCGGGAUGAGGAAGAUCAAGUUGAAUCAAAAAAGAGGAAAGAAAGCCCAUCGCGUGUGACAGACAAGAAAGUGCUACCGUUAAAAGGCAAACAGUUCUAGAGGAGCCUGUGACUGACUACAGCAGGAGAGCAGGCGUGGCAUGGAUCCCGUGCAAGCCGGCAGUGGAGACCCAGCGCCUGAGAGUGACGUGGGGAACUAGCAGGAGCUAGAAGUGACUUAGGACGAGCUUUUGUAAAGCUGAGGUGUGAGUGUAAUAUCAGGAUGAUUUGACUGCAAGCAACAGAGAAUCAAACAGAAAUGGCCUAGGGAGUCCCUUCGUGGCUCCCCAGUUAACAAUCUGACUGGAUCAUGAGGAUGCAGGUUCAAUCCCCGGCCUCUAUCAGUGGGUGAAGGAUCUAGUGCUACCAUGAGCUGUGCUGUGGUGUAGGCUGGCGGCCGCAGCUCCAGUUGGACCCCUAGCCCGGGAACUUCCAUAUGCUGUGGGUGCAGCCCUAAAAAGCAAAAACAAACAAAAAAAUGAAACAAAACAAAACAAAAAAUCCACAAAAAAAUCAGAAAUGGCCUAAACAAAGAAGAAAACGUGUUAUCCCAUACUACAAGAAGUUUGGGGAUUGAGUGAGUGGUUAAAUGCAUGAUUAGUUUAGAAACUUGACAGCACCACCCAGGACCCAUUUUCCCUAAGGCGCUGCUGCCCCCCACCCUGUAGGCUUAGCCACCGCAGCAAAGACACCCCCCUUCCCCAACCAGAGCCCUGCGUCAGGACUGGAAGGGGCCUCCUUCCCUCCAUCCCCUUCCAGAACCUCCGCAGAAGACUCCCCUUGACGUCUCAUUCCAUCCCAUACUGGUCACUUUGCAGGGGAACGGAUUUACCAUGGUGGCCAGAGACAAUUAAGUCGCCCCCAUCUCUGGAGAACACUUGACCACUCAGUACCCAGCAACUCGGGUACUCCUGGCAAGAAAGAGACAGGUGAUACCCACUGGGUCCUGUCCACAGCGCCUGCCCCCAGCAACCUGUCUACCUGGAAAACUGAGGGGGUGCCACGCGGGUCUGUGUCUUCUCUGUAGUUUGCCCGAGUCUUUCCCAUUAGGUAAGUGUCGCCCUUUUCCCUCUUUGCGGCUUUCCUCCUUGGCACGUCACCCAGGUUUUGUUCAGCCACAAGGGGCGAUAGGCUGAAAGAGGAAUCUCCAGGCCUAGGUGAUGGGCCAGCCGUGGUGAUCCUCACCCGUUUGCCUGGGCACCGUUUGGGAAACGUCCCCCUGCUCACCACGGAGAUGAAAGACCAGGUCCCUGGAGGGGCUUCGCGGAAGGAUUUUUCUCCCCAGUAAAGCGGCAGACAAGCCAAGGGUCCGCCGCCCUACGCGCCGUCUGCCUUUGAGCCGCCGCCAGCUCACAUCCUUGAGCAGAAACGUUGCAGGGAGGCAGAAAGCGCCGAGUCUCAUGGAUCGUGCUGAGCGUUGCAUCCACCCAGGACUGCUUACCUUCAGACUUCUGCUCCGGUGGCAGAGCAGCAAACCCCUAUUGUGUAAGCCUUUGUAGAUGGCUGGUGCCACUUGCUGCUGAAAGUGACAGAUAAUCUUUCUAGGAAUAUAACCCCUAAAGCCCUUUAUGGUAACAGAUGCACUUAGAGAAUGUAGUUUUCUUUCUUUUUCUUACUUAAAAAAAAAAAAAAAAAAAAGCUGAAGUCUGCCUCAGGCAAAAAGACAAACUGAAAACAUAUGUAUGCAUAAUUGAAGUGCAAUCAAUAUUCAUUAGAAAAUGAACGAAUGUUCUUCAGGUUACUUUAAUAGUUUUCUCGGGGAAUCUGUUUUUGGAUACGUAUGUCAGCUACAAUAUUUGGCACUUCCAGGAGCUCUGUGUUGAUGUCCUUCCUAGAAGUUGCACUUCUGCGCAUUUUUCUGCGCCUUUGGGGUCUCAGAUGUUCCUGGAAGGAAUCACUUUUCACUCCCCUGGCUUUUCCCUCGAACAGGUAACUUGUAACUUGCUGUUGCCUAUAGAUAUCGAGCAUUUGUCCAAAAAUAUGUUCCUACAAUACCUUCCUGUCUCAGCCAUUCCAUUCACAAGACAGUUUAAACAUUUCUCCAUGCUAUUCCACAGAUCAUUCAUAGAGGAACCAUCUGAACCAUGCAACAAAGUCUAGAAACUUUUAUGACUUUUAACUUCCACGACAAGUUAUCAUGUACUUGGUACCCUCAGCCAGGUACAUGUUAAGCUCAGGUUUCAUGUAUGUUAGCGUGGAGCCAUAUUUCCUUGUGGAUAAACCUAUAGAUUUAUCCCCACCCCCACUUCCCUUCCCAGAAGUAACUGUUGCCUUGACAACAGGGUAAGGACAGCAGUGAUGACGGCUGUGAUAACGAUUAUGAUAAUGAUGGCAGGAGAAACUGUAUGCUGGCCAUUAUCUAAGCACUUUACAUGCAUUAGCUCCUUUAACGCCCAAGGAGGCAUGUGACAGAAAUGCUAUUUUUAUCCCCGUGUUAGAGAUGAGGGCUGAGGAAAGACUGGUGAGGUGCCUUGCCCAAGGCCACACGUCUGGUCCCCAGAGAAGCCAGGCUUCCUACCCAGGCAACCCAGGGGUCCCAUACACUGUCGCUGCCUGAUAGGUAGCAGUGGUGGUGAUACACACUUCCUCUAGGUACAUGCGCAUCCAUAAUAAAGACGCAGUAGACUUAUUUGC
rnacentral:lncRNA from 1 species